CUUAGAAGUUAACACAUUUGUUAUGAACACAAUGAGCACGGCAAACUGAGGUUAGCAUUGUUUGCCGUGACUGUAGUGAGUGUUCACUACACCCACAGUGCUGCGUAUAGUUUGUAAAUGCAAUCCUGUGAAUGGAUGUGCCGCAAAUCCUUCACAUCAUUUGGGUCUCUUCCCUUGGGAAUUAAUACUGGUGGUCUCUCUCUCCACCCGCCCGGCACCCUUCGAUGCUGGCAUCACGCGUUGUAUAUAACAGUCAUGGGUAGAACCAGCUCUCCUAGCACCUCUAGUAGCUAAAUGCCUCGUCAUCUAAUUAGUGACGCGCAUGAAUGGAUGAACGAGUUUCUCACUGUCCCCUUCUACUCUCUCGCAACCUACAGUCACGGGGAACGGGCUCAGUGGAAUCAGCUUGGAAAGAAGGUCCUGUUCGGGUUGGCUCUAGUCCGACUUUUUAAAACGGCUUGGGGGGUGUAGCAUAGGCGGUAGAUUCGGCGAUCGCAAAGGACCACUACCCUCAGUGUACUCUCAGUUAUUCCGUCGAGACACAUGCAUGGCAUGUGUUUUUGCGUUGCCGCGCCUCUCAGGGUGCUGAUCAAUGCAGCAGACACAGCCAAGGGUGGCAAUAACGCAGCAGCCAACCAGUACCUUGCAUGGGGACACUUGAAGGCUCUGGUGAAGGGGUUUAAGUGUGCCAUAGAGGGACAGAGAGAAGAUUUGGCACCAUGGAGGUUACCACCCGUGUGACGU
rnacentral:ncRNA from 1 species